rfam:Schistosoma mansoni, Puerto Rico, WGS project CABG01000000 data, contig: 0206
GCACUGCUGAGGAGUCCCGUAAUAAGACGAAACGGCCGUCCAGUGU